GACAGAGGAUGCAAGCGUUAUCCGGAAUGAUUGGGCGUAAAGCGUCCGCAGGUGGCAAUGUAAGUCUGCUGUCAAAGCGUCUGGCUCAACCAGAUAAAGGCAGUGGAAACUACAUAGCUAGAGUAAGGUAGGGGUAGAGGGAAUUCCUGGUGUAGCGGUGAAAUGCGUAGAGAUCAGGAAGAACACCGGUGGCGAAAGCGCUCUGCUGGACCUUAACUGACACUGAGGGACGAAAGCUAGGGGAGCGAAUGGG
rnacentral:rRNA from 1 species